rnacentral:rRNA from 1 species
GACGAACGCUGGCGGCGUGCUUAACACAUGCAAGUCGAGCGGAGCGGAGAAAGGUUGAGUAACGCGUGAGUAACUGCCCCCCUCUCUGGGCUAACAGUUGGAAACGGCAGCUAAUACCGGAUCGUGGGGGAUGACUGCCGUCCUCUACGUUCGUGGGUGGGGUAGGGGCCCACCAAGGCGACGACGGGUAGCCGGCCUGAGAGUGCGACCGGCCACAUUGGGCUGAGGUACGGCCCAAACUCCUACGGGGGGCAGCGGGGGGGAAUAUUGCACAAUGGGGGAAACCCUGAUGCAGCAACGCGCGUGCGGGAUGACGGCCUUCGGGUUGUAAACCGCUUUCAGCUAUGACGCGGUAGUGGCAGAAGAAGCACCGGCUAACUACGUGCCAGCAGCCGCGGUAAUAC